rnacentral:tRNA from 1 species
GGCUGAGUAGCUCAGUUGGUGAGAGCGCGCGGCUCAUACCCGCGAGGUCAACAGUUCAAAUCUGUUCUCAGCUA